CGCCAUGGCGGACGGCUAGAAAAGACGGCUCCUAGGGUCUCCCCAAAGAUCUUAUAGGGCAGCGUAAGGGGAGUGUCUAGGGGUACGCACAGGCUCACAAUUGGUGUGCUUCCAGGCUUGGAGGGCUUGCCCUGUGUUGAUUGGUCAACUGGUUGUUAUGGCUCAUAGGGCUUGCCCUGUGUUGAUUGGUCAACUGGUUGUUAUGGCUCAUAGGCCCUCCCAGGGUGGUUGCUAUGCUCUCUAAGUCAUUGCUGUGCGCUUGUCCGUAAAGCACACCCAGAGCCAUAAAGCAUAGCGCCACCAGCUAACUUCCGAUUGGUGUGCCUCCAGGCUUGGAGGGCUUGCCCUGUGUUGAUUGGUCAACUGGUUGUUAUGGCCCAUGGGCCCCCCCAGGGUGGUUGCUAUGCU
rnacentral:lncRNA from 1 species